GCGCUCAAGUGGGCCCGCUGGAACUAAGUCCGUGCUCCGUCUAUGAGUAAUGAGUCUAUCUGCUAUCAGUCUAUGAGUAUUGAGUAUAUUCAUUAUUUAGAGAUUACAUAUUCAGAAGAAAUGGACACCAUCCAUCUUGUGAAAAUAAUCUAAAGCAUUAAGCAAGUUCUGAAAUCAAAUAAAUAUGAACCAAUUAAUUUUAGAAAUGACUCUCACUCUGUAAGAAUACUAGAAGAUUUACAAUUUCUACUCAAAAAUGAAGUCUUAUGCGAUGUUAAAUUUGAAGCUGAAGAUGGCAAAACUGUUAUUGGCAUAAGAAUUCCACUAUUUUACAGCUAUUAGUAGAUUAUAUCUAUACUAGAGAAAUUAUGGUCACAAAAGAAAAUGAUCAGGGGUUGUUACCAGCUGCAAAUAUCUUACAAUUACAUUAUGUAAGUAGUGCAUGUGCUGAGUUUUUACAGAAACAACUGGAUGCAUCAAAUUGUAUUGAUAUCAAAGCAUUUGUUGACUUACACUACUGUAUGGGAUUGUUGUCGAGUUCUGAAGAAUAUAUUAAACAAGAUUUUUUGUAUGAUAAACAUAAUUUAAUUCUCUAUAUUAGAGUAAGUAGGUAAUUAAUUAUUAUAAAAAUAAUAAUUUAUUUUCAACAAAAACAAUAUAAAUUUGCACUAAUAUAUGCAAAGAAAUGUAGAACACAAGUUUGCAACUCCCCUUUAAGCAUAAGCUUGUUUUGGGGGAAUAAUAAUAAUUAUUAUUUCCAGAGAAGUAGCUAAAGGCAAAGAUUUCUGAAGAUUUGGUGAAACUUAUUUCCUCCAUUAAAAUCAUUGUUAAAUGCUGUUCCAUUUGAAGAAAAACGGAGAAAGAGAAUCAUCUAUUGUUAAUACUGUAGAAAUUUACAACCCGAACACCAAUACUUGGACCAUGGAGAUAUUAUCAAGAAAUGAAGUACACAUUUAUGGUGAAGUGGUUGUUGAUAGACCACAUCAUUAUAAUUAAUCAGCAUACAGAAGUACUCAUUUUUAGUAGUAAUAUGAACAUAUUUUUGUAUAAAUUAUGAUGACAUAUAUUGUUUUAUAUAUUUUUGUUUUUUUUUAUAAUUUAUGCUGACUAUUUUCAAAUAAUAAAAAUAAGCUUUAAAGUUAAUUUUAUUGCAAUAUAUCAGUCAAA